rnacentral:rRNA from 1 species
CCUACGGGUGGCAGCAGUGGGGAAUAUUGCACAAUGGGCGAAAGCCUGAUGCAGCAACGCCGCGUGAGCGAUGAAGGCCGUCGGGUCGUAAAGCUCUUUUCUCAAGGAAGAUAAUGACGGUACUUGAGGAGGAAUCCCUGUCUCACUACGGUCCAGCAGCCGCGGUAAUACGUAGGGGGCUAGCGUUAUCCGGAAUUACUGGGCGUAAAGGGUGCGUAGGUGGUUUCUUAGGUCAGAGGUGAAAGGCUACGGCUAAACCGUAGUAAGCCUUUGAAACUGGGGAACUUGAGUGCAGGAGAGGAGAGUGGAAUUCCUGGUGUAGCGGUGAAAUGCGUAGAUAUUAGGAGGAACACCAGUUGCGAAGGCGGCUCUCUGGACUGUAACUGACACUGAGGCACGAAAGCGUGGGGAGCAAACAGGAUUAGAUACCCGAGUAGUC